GACGAACGCUGGCGGCGUGCUUAACACAUGCAAGUCGAACGAGUGGCGAACGGGUGAGUAAUACGUGAGUAACCUGCCCUCUUUUUGGGAUAAGCCUUGGAAACGGGGUCUAAUACCGGAUAAAGGGGGAUGGGCUCGCGGCCUAUCAGCUUGUUGGUGGGGUGAUGGCCUACCAAGGCGGUGACGGGUAGCCGGCCUGAGGGGGUGACCGGCAACAUUGGGACUGAGAUACGGCCCAGACUGCUACGGGUGGGAGCAGUGGGGGAAAUUGCACAAUGGGCGAAAACCUGAUGCAGCGACGCCGCGUGGGGGAUGAAGGCUUUCGGGUUGUAAACCUCUUUCGCAAGCGAAUGGGUAGGUGGAGAGGAAGCGCCGGCUAACUACGUGCCAGCAGCCGCGGUAAUAC
rnacentral:rRNA from 1 species